rnacentral:rRNA from 1 species
GUUGACCUCGGAUCAGGUAGGACUACCCGCUGAACUUAAGCAUAUCAAUAAGCGGAGGAAAAGAAACCAACAGGGAUUGCCUCAGUAACGGCGAGUGAAGCGGCAACAGCUCAGAUUUGGAAUCUGGCCCCCAGGGCCCGAGUUGUAAUCUGGAGAGGAUGCUUCUGGCGCGGUGCCUUCCGAGUUCCCUGGAACGGGACGCCGGAGAGGGUGAGAGCCCCGUACGGUAGGACACCUAGCCGAUGUGAAGCUCCUUCGACGAGUCGAGUAGUUUGGGAAUGCUGCUCAAAAUGGGAGGUAAAUUUCUUCUAAAGCUAAAUACCGGCCAGAGACCGAUAGCGCACAAGUAGAGUGAUCGAAAGAUGAAAAGCACUUUGAAAAGAGGGUCAAACAGUACGUGAAAUUGUUGAAAGGGAAGCGCCCGUGGCCAGACUUGUGCCCCGCGGACCAUCCGGCGCGCUCAGCGCCGGUGCACUCUGUGGGGCGCAGGCCAGCAUCGGUUCUUUUAGGGGGAUAAAGGCGGCGGGAACGUGGCUCCUACGGGAGUGUUAUAGCCCGUCGUGCCAUGCCCCUGGGGGGACCGAGGACCGCGCUUCGGCAAGGAUGCUGGCGUAAUGGCCACCGGCGACCCGUCUUGAAACACGGACCAAG